UGGGGAAUAUUGCACAAUGGGCGCAAGCCUGAUGCAGCCAUGCCGCGUGUAUGAAGAAGGCCUUCGGGUUGUAAAGUACUUUCAGCGGGGAGGAAGGGAGUAAAGUUAAUACCUUUGCUCAUUGACGUUACCCGCAGAAGAAGCACCGGCUAACUCCGUGCCAGCAGCCGCGGUAAUACGGAGGGGGGAAGCGUUAAUCGGAAUUACUGGGCGUAAAGCGCACGCAGGCGGUUUGUUAAGUCAGAUGUGAAAUCCCCGGGCUCAACCUGGGAACUGCAUCUGAUACUGGCAAGCUUGAGUCUCGUAGAGGGGGGUAGAAUUCCAGGUGUAGCGGUGAAAUGCGUAGAGAUCUGGAGGAAUACCGGUGGCGAAGGCGGCCCCCUGGACGAAGACUGACGCUCAGGUGCGAAAGCGUGGGGAGCAAACAGGAGGACCUGGUAGUCCACGCCGUAAACGAUGUCGACUUGGAGGUUGUGCCCUUGAGGCGUGGCUUCCGGAGCUAACGCGUUAAGUCGACCGCCUGGGGAGUACGGCCGCAAGGUUA
rnacentral:rRNA from 1 species